rnacentral:rRNA from 1 species
CAGCCGCCGCGGGAAUACAUAUGGUGCGAGCGUUAAUCGGAUUUACUGGGCGUAAAGCGUGCGUAGGCGGCUUCUUAAGUCGGAUGUGAAAUCCCUGAGCUUAACUUAGGAAUUGCAUUCGAUACUGGGAAGCUAGAGUAUGGGAGAGGAUGGUAGAAUUCCAGGUGUAGCGGUGAAAUGCGUAGAGAUCUGGAGGAAUACCGAUGGCGAAGGCAGCCAUCUGGCCUAAUACUGACGCUGAGGUACGAAAGCAUGGGGAGCAAACAGGAUUAGAUACCCCUGUAGUCCCUGUCUCUUAUAC